UAGGACCGACAUGAUGGUGCGCUCCCUUCGAUCUUCGAGGAGUAGGGCUUCUCGAUCUUCUUCUUUCUCGAUGUUGGCCCUGAGUUUCACGUCCUGAAUGAGCGGGUUCCUUCCCACUUCUAUGCCCACGCUCUUCGGACCGAACGUAACUGGACGCUUCAUCUCUCAACUCUUCCAUCCGGGACAUCUGCUCAGCUAUAUCCUGUC
rnacentral:lncRNA from 1 species